rnacentral:rRNA from 1 species
AUUGAACGCUGGCGGCAGGCCUAACACAUGCAAGUCGAACGGUAACAGGAAGAAGCUUGCUUCUUUGCUGACGAGUGGCGGACGGGUGAGUAAUGUCUGGGAAACUGCCCGAUGGAGAGGGAUAACUACUGGAAACGGUAGCUAAUACCGCAUAACGUCGCAAGACCAAAGAGGGGGACCUUCGGGCCUCUUGCCAUCGGAUGUGCCCAGAUGGGAUUAGCUUGUUGGUGAGGUAACGGCUCACCAAGGCGACGAUCCCUAGCUGGUCUGAGAGGAUGACCAGCCACACUGGAACUGAGACGCGGUCCAGACUCCUACGGGAGGCAGCAGUGGGGAAUAUUGCACAAUGGGCGCAAGCCUGAUGCAGCCAUGCCGCGUGUAUGAAGAAGGCCUUCGGGUUGUAAAGUACUUUCAGCGGGGAGGAAGGGAGUAAAGUUAGUACCUUUGCUCAUUGACGUUACCCGCAGAAGAAGCACCGGCUAACUCCGUGCCAGCAGCCGCGGUAACAC